rnacentral:rRNA from 1 species
UACAGAGGGUGCGAGCGUUAAUCGGAAUUACUGGGCGUAAAGCGCACGUAGGCGGCUUGGUAUGUCGGGUGUGAAAUCCCCGGGCUCAACCUGGGAACUGCAUCCGAAACUGCCUUGCUAGAGUAUGGGGGAGGGAAGUGGAAUUUCCGGUGUAGCAGUGAAAUGCGUAGAUAUCGGAAGGAACACCAGUGGCGAAGGCGACUUCCUGGACCAAUACUGACGCUCAGGUGCGAAAGCGUGGGGAGCAAACAGG